ACUAAUUGAAUUAUAUUUGGUGAUACAGUGAUGCAAUGGCUGUUUUUUUGAGGAUUCAUUAUGCAUAAUGGUACUGUACUGCGACUAUGCUUUUCAACUUGCCUAAGGCAAUAAAACCAAUUGGAGCACGAUUCCUUUCAGGUGCAAGUGCAGCAUGCUUUGGUGUAGAUGUUCAUCCUACUUACUUAGCAUCCCUAUUGAAGGAAUGUAAGUCUGGAAAAACAGUUCGUCAAAUUCACCAAAAGAUAAUUGCCUCUGGUCUUCUUUCUUUGCCCACACCAUUAUUGUCAGUGUCACUGCCAGCAUUGCCAUCUGAACCAUUUAUAUCACCAAGAUCUCUGGGCACUGGCGUUGUCGCUUCUUAUCUUUCUUGUGGUGUUACCGACUAUGCUCUCUUGGUGUUGGAACGUGUUACACCAUCACCAGCGGUGUGGUGGAAUCUACUUAUCCGAGAACACAUCAAACAAGGCUGCCUUGACAGUGCAAUUGCUGUCUCUUGCCGCAUGCUGCGUGCUGGAACUAGGCCAGAUCAUUUUACUCUGCCACAUGUAUUAAAAGCAUGUGGAGAGCUACCUUCAUACCUUUGUGGUAUCACAUUCCAUGGAUUGAUAUGCUGCAAUGGCUUUGAGUCAAACGUCUUCAUAUGCAAUGCAUUAGUGGCAAUGUAUUCCCGCUGUGGUUAUUUAGAGGAAAGCCACAUAGUCUUUGAUGAAAUAAUUCAGAGGGGUAUUGAUGAUGUUAUCUCAUGGAACUCAAUUGUUUCAGCCCAUGUUAAAGGGAGUAAUCCUUGGACUGCAUUGCAUCUGUUUUCAAAGAUGACACUGAUUGUCCAUGAGAAGGCUACAAAUGAAAGGUCAGACAUCAUUAGCAUCGUCAACAUCCUCCCUGCAUGUGCUUCUCUAAAGGCAGUACCUCAAACUAAAGAAGUCCAUGGUAAUGCUAUUCGUAAUGGCACAUUUCCAGAUGUUUUUGUUGGUAAUGCCCUGAUCGAUGCUUACGCGAAGUGUGGUUUGAUGGAAAAUGCUGUAAAGGUUUUCAACAUGAUGGAAUUCAAAGAUGUGGUUUCUUGGAAUGCAAUGGUGACUGGGUACUCUCAAAGUGGGAACUUUGAGGCAGCCUUUGAGCUUUUCAAUAAUAUGCGCAAGGAAAAUAUCCCAUUAGAUGUGGUGACAUGGACUGCUGUAAUUGCAGGCUAUUCUCAGAGGGGAUGCAGCCAUGAGGCACUCAAUGUGUUCCAGCAAAUGCUUUUCUCUGGGUCCUUGCCAAAUUCUGUCACAAUCAUCUCCGUGUUGUCUGCUUGCGCUUCUUUGGGAGCAUUUUCUCAGGGUAUGGAAAUUCAUGCUUACUCAAUCAAGAACUGUCUUCUAACCAUGGAUUGUGAUUUUGGUGGUGAUGAUGAGGAUCUUAUGGUGCACAACGCAUUAAUUGACAUGUACUCAAAGUGCAGAAGCUUCAAAGCUGCACGCUCCAUAUUUCAUAAUAUACCUCUAGAGGAACGCAAUGUGGUAACGUGGACUGUCAUGAUUGGUGGGUAUGCACAAUAUGGGGACUCAAAUGAUGCCCUCAAGCUUUUUGUGGAGAUGAUUUCAGAACCAUAUGGAGUAGCCCCAAAUGCUUUCACGAUUUCGUGCAUUCUGAUGGCCUGUGCACAUUUGGCAGCCCUACGUAUGGGUAAGCAGAUUCAUGCUUAUGUGCUUCGUCACCACCGAUAUGAGUCAUCUGCAUACUUUGUGGCGAACUGCCUCAUUGAUAUGUACUCGAAAUGUGGUGAUGUAGAUACAGCUAGGCAUGUAUUUGAUAGCAUGCCUCAAAGGAGUGCUGUUUCUUGGACAUCAAUGAUGACAGGGUACGGAAUGCAUGGUCGUGGUAGUGAGGCCCUGGACAUAUUUGAUAAUAUGCGGAAAGCAGGCUUUGUUCCUGACGAUAUAGCCUUCCUGGUUGUUCUUUAUGCAUGUAGUCAUUGUGGAAUGGUUGAUCAAGGUCUAGCAUACUUCGACAGCAUGAGCGCAGAUUAUGGUUUGACACCCAGUGCAGAGCACUAUGCCUGUGCUAUUGACUUGCUGGCCCGGUCUGGGCGAUUAGAUAAGGCAUGGGAAACAGUUAAUGACAUGCCAAUGGAGCCCACUGCAGUAGUUUGGGUUGCACUACUGAGUGCCUGUAGAGUACAUUCAAAUGUUGAACUUGCUGAACAUGCUCUGAACAAGCUGGUUGAAAUGAAUGCCGAGAAUGAUGGAUCCUACACACUAAUCUCCAACAUAUAUGCCAAUGCAGGCCGGUGGAAAGAUGUUGCAAGAAUCAGACACUUGAUGAAGAAAUCAGGAAUUAGGAAGAGACCAGGGUGCAGCUGGGUCCAGGGUCAAAAGGGGACCGCGUCUUUCUUUGUCGGAGAUAGAUCACACCCACUAACCCCGCAAAUUUAUGCUCUUCUCGAGAGAUUAAUUGAUCGUAUCAAAGCUAUGGGAUAUGUUCCUGAGACGAACUUUGCAUUGCAUGAUGUUGAUGAGGAGGAGAAAAACAAUCUUCUUGUUGAGCAUAGUGAGAAGCUUGCUCUUGCAUAUGGUCUCCUCACAACUUCCCCUGGUUGUCCAAUAAGGAUCACAAAGAACCUACGUGUAUGUGGUGAUUGUCAUAGUGCAUUCACCUACAUUUCAAAGAUUGUGGACCAUGAGAUCAUAGUACGAGACCCCAGUCGUUUUCAUCAUUUCAAGAACGGUUCAUGCUCAUGUGGUGGCUAUUGGUGAGGAUUAUAUUUGCGAAAGCAUCAGAGAUGAUUUAAAAGGUUUUUAAAAGAUUAGACUAGGAACCACAGAAAUGUGAUGUUUGUCAAAUGCGCAAAAUGCUUUGGCACCCACCUCUCCAGCAUCCAGGUUUGUAGUUGACUUCUCCGCACCGCCGCCGAGAUGGCUCGCUAUCACCGCAGCAGCAGCCACCUUCGCCAUGCACCGCUUCAGCUGGCCACAGAUCUGGGUUGACCCACUUCACUGGCAGGAUAUUUCUCCCACCACCUGAAGGCUGCUGCUCCACCUGCAGUGAAUGCGGGGAUAACCAAUGUACAAGAAGCCAAGCCGAUUCGUUUGCUCAAAGAUCAUAAAAUCCAGUGCAAAUAAAACUCUCAGGAUCAACAUGAGAACGGCCUUCUUCAGUUUCAAGAUCAGUGACAUUGUUAUAAGCGGUCAGAUCAACAGCAAGGCACCGGUUGGAUUGGACCAACGGCGGUGACAGGCAGCACCAAUGCAGGGAAGUGGUCAGACCGAUCGACGGUCAAACCACAGUUAUCUGGACGGUCCGGUUAGACCGAUCUCCAUUUACUUCGAGAGUAACUUUUAAUUCCACUAAAAGUUUUUGGUUUUUGAUGUCACAACCAUCUACCCCUCCUACUCUGGUUUGCUUAGUUCUUUUGUGUACUAUCCAGCAGAUUUUGUACUUAUUUUACUAAUAUUGUGGAAGUACAUGAAUUUGUUGCUUUUAAAUCAGUGACAUGCACUUGGAUGGUAACAUAUUACAAUCAAACUGCCUUUAGCACAAGAAAGGUCCACGUUUUUGUUGUAAACUUUGGUAUGUAAUCAAA